rnacentral:lncRNA from 1 species
AUGAUCUAUAUUUUUUAUUCUUUUAUAUAUAAGAGUUUUUUUGUUCUUGAUAUUCAUUAGCUUUUGUCUUUGGUAAAAAUUAAUUUCUUAAUAUUCAGUAACUUACAAGGUCAAUAAAAAUUUGUUAACAUUUAUUUUUAAAUGGUAGUUUAGUUCCUCUUAGUGAUACUGAUUAUUGCAACUAAAAGAUAUAUAUCUAAAUAAAUUAAUGAUAAUUUGUGAAAUUGAGAAGAGAAAGAAAAGAAACAUUAAUUAAAUAAUUGGUGCGUUCAAAUAGUCCCACCAUUUUUAAUAUGCAUUAACUUUUAAGCGGCAAUAUCCAAACUUCUAUUUCGCCAAAAAUUUAAAUUCAAAUAAUAAAUUAAAUAAUUGUUUGAAAAUUACUCGGUCCAUGAGACACCGUCACAGCAUAUACUUGAUGUUAGACUAUUCUUGCAUAAAUUAAUUAAAAGACAAAUUGGCUCAAGCUGAAGUAAUAAUAGUGAUAAUGCUUAUAAAAAAAAAAAAUGAAAAGAAAAAAGGGUCAAGCCAGUGAUAUGAUAUGCCCAUUUGCUCUUUGACGCAGCUAAUGGUUGGACACUUGGACUGGACGUAGGUUCGAGAAUUUGGGCUCAAAACGCAACAAUUAAUUAAGAGGUACUAUUAACACCCCUCCAACUUCCUCUUUAAACCCUGCUUAAUCUUGUUUACAAUUUUACCCCUAACUAAACAUUUGCCCUCCACACCCGCAUCCAAAUACAACGCAAGUGAAGACCGCCGGCGGUGCUGACGUAAACAUUUAAAAAAUGAUUUUCUUGGAUAGAAAUAAUUUUAAAGAUGAAAACUAUUUCAUAUGACUUAUUGUAAAUCUUUUAAUGCUCACAUGAUUCGACCUACAGAGUUAGCUCCAUUCGACUAAUUAAACUUCAGAUUCUUUAUUUUUGGAGUUCAAAAUUAUGAGAAGUUGAUCAAAAAUAAAUAAAUUAUGAUAAAAAUAAAAAAAUUUCUAUAAUGUUGUAUGAGGUUUUACAAUAUUGAUAAUGAGAUUGUUAUGCACUCUUAAAUUUAAGUGCUCUAAUCUCUAUCAUUCAUUUAAUAUAGUGGAUAAAAAUUAAUUUAUUAAAGAAUAACAGGCAAAUUUCAGGUUGCAAGUAAAUACAAUUU